rnacentral:lncRNA from 1 species
GGAAUAUUUUAGUGCCUGGGUAGCCAGGGUCUGUAAUUUCAAGUCAGUGAUCUGGCAAUGAUCAGCAAUCAAACAAAGCAAAUUCCUGUACGAUAUUACAUGCUUCAAUGACAUUUUGGUUUCUGACCAAAAAGCAGUGAGCUUUCAGUAAUAAAAGAAUCAUUCUGUGGACUGUGGUCAUACUGUCACUUUUGCAGCUAUUGGCACAGGUUAACACUUCUUAAUAUAUGUGUAAUAAUGCAAGACGUAGCCCUGUAAUUUUUGCACUGUAAUUAAAAUACUCAAUGUAAUUCAACCACACUUAUAGAGAGCACUUGAUACCUGUGGUGUCCCCUUCAUAUCUUUUAAAAGUCAUCAUGAUUUGUUUAUGACUCAGGAAUAACUAAGGGAUCAUAAGGGAUCCUGCUUGAGCUUGAGGAUGGAAGAAAUGUUGUAGAGGUCCUGAGCUCUGAAAUGUCUUGAGCUUUGACAUGUUUAAAAGCAACUAAGGAAAGCAGGGCAUUUCUGAAAAUGCUACAUCAAGACCCAUAGGAAAAUUACACCUGGAAAGCAAGGAACAAUGGCUUGUCAUCAAAAGGAGGGAAAUACUGACUGUCCUGGGCCAGAAGCUGUUACUGGAGCCAGACUGAAAAACAGCAGCUAUUCCAACUGCUGCAAAAGGGAAGAACAAGGGUGCUCUUGUACUGCCAAACAAAUAUUGUAAGGAACUGAACCCAGUGUCGUCCUGUUUGCUGCCUGCCAAGUGUGGCCACCUGGAGGACAAGAAAGAUGCACUGGGCAUUUAAUUCUGCAGCUGUUCUACAGCUAUGGAAGAACAUGGCUUUGGGAUAUAGGCUACAUGCUGCUCUAGGUAAUAUACCCAGCGAUGGCUGUGGCCAGAAUCUUCAACAUGAGAAGGGAAAAGAUGUUGUGCAGCACAGAAGAAAUUAAUGAAUGAAGAAAGCUGAACUUAGAAAGGAAAUAUAAUUGCACAACACCAGGAGGAUAUUUCUGAAUUAGCAAGUUAAAUGACAGAUACUUCUAUAUUUUGAUGUCUUACCUUCAUUCAACAAAAAUCCAUCACUUUCGAUAUGAGAUUCUUUGGUCCUGCUACAUGAAGUGUAGACACAAAAAUUGUAACUAUGAAGGAGGAAAAUGGCUAAAAAGUAUUUUCAGGCUGAAAGAAGCAGUUCAAGUGUGGCAUGAAAAUAGGACCAUGAAAUGAAGAAGAAAAAUGAUAAAAAGAAGAUGAAGAUUCUGACUGCUUAAAAAAAAAAAAAAAAAGGAAGAAAUGCUCAACUUUGGUGUAAUUUCUGGGUGUCCAAACCUUUGGCUUCCCUGGGCCACACUGAGUGAACAGGAAUUGUCUUGGGCCACACACACAGAGGUUGCCCUGAAAGUAAUACCUCCUACUUAUUUCCAUGGAAAUUACAACAAAGAACACAAUAACACUGUUUCACAGAGCAAAUUCACAGCUACAGAAAAAUGUUUUUCAAUAUAGUUAACACCAUUAGCUAUGUAUUUUUGCCAGUGAUGAACGAGGGCCUGCAUAUCAUGCUUGACUAAAUCUGCAACAGUGGAGGUGACCCAAAGUCACUGUCGCCACUGCUGAAAUGCAUGACCCACUGCCUCAGUGUUCUCCAAUUCACUGUUUAGUCUCCAGAAACUAUCAGCAAGCAUCAAUGAAUGUCAGUGGAUGCCAUUUUCUUCUGCAUGGAGGAAUUUAAUUACACACCUUUGCUUCAUACUCACUUCCAUGCCAAAUGCCAUUUUGUCAGAUUGCCACUCUGUGUCAUCUGUUGCACAGCAACAAAAUUUAACAGAAUAUUGGUGGGAAGGUUCAACCUCUACUGCCAUACCACCAAUAUACACCACUGAUGUCACUUGUCAACAGAAGAAAAUAGGAGGCAUUACUUUUGGAGCACCCCUCAUAAAAUAUAUAUUUCAUGUCUAUAAGUAACAAAAUUUAUUUUAAUAGUUAAUCUUUUUAUUAAAUAAAAAAUAAACAUGAGAGCAACAAAAAUAUAAAACUAGUGGGAUAUUUGACUUUGUUUUUGUGAAACGAAUGCCUCAGGCUGGCUUGAUGGCAGUGGCUGCAAUUCUUUGUGAGCUCUCAAGGUAAACAUUUUUAAUGAAAUUUUACUUCUCCUUCCUAUCCUUGAAAUAGUUGUUCACAAAUAUGCACAUUGACAAAAAGCAAUGAUGUGAAUAAGGUGUGAUUAAGAGGUGAGGAAUGUUUUUCUCUGGUAAGCUAAGGCUAAUAAAAGUAAAGUGACAUGGUCAGGUUUUUGAGUUGCAAAUACACCAAAUAGUGAUGCUUGUUUUGGUGAUCUUGAAACCUGUUCUCAAAUUCCUUUAUCAAAAGGAAAAGUACAGCAGCACAUUUUUUGCUGUUCACAGGACUGUGUUUAGCCAGACUCAAAAUGCAUACAUUUAUUUGCUACAACUCUUAGCACUGCACUGUGCCCUCCCUGUGUAUUGGUUGCAGCUCAGGCAGUGUUAAUAGUGCACAAAUGUUUGGUUGUUGCUGAGCAGUGGGUGCACUCUGGGGCUGGGCAGAGCUGCAGUGGGGGACAGAUGGCACAUGUCAGGGGCGAGGCUGCAUUGCCAACUGCACCAGGCCACGUGUGGCCCAUGGGUUGAACAUGCCUAGUCUGAUGUAAUCUAGAUCUAAAUGCCUGUGGUCUAAAGCAAAAACAAAAUAUCAAAACCUCAGAAUUUCGCAUGAAUGGAAAUGUCAUUUUCCAGCCAUCUUUUUCAGUAGAUCUGCAAAAGCACACCCUUAAAUUCCCCAAAGAUUGCUGCCGCUGCUGAGAUGACAUCAGCAUUUUUUCUUAAAGAAGAAAAUACCAUGCCAUUAAUCUGAGACAAUCCUUUGUCAAAAGUGAACGCUGGAAUACUUACAGUUCUGAACUUGUCCUGAAAUAGCUUUGUAUCACUAGUGCCAAUACUUGACUCAUUUCAUCCUUUUUAAAACACACCUGUAAAAAUAAUGCUUAAUUCCCAAGUAUGUGAUUUUAGAAUACACAUUAUUCCAAACAAGCAGCUGUUAAGAACUUAUCUUUACUUCCUUACUUUACUUAGUGUUUUUUAAUGUACUGGUCUUGUUCUUAGGCUUUUUUUGUCCAGAAAGAUUGGUAUCAAGGAAAUCUCUAUAUUGUUCUUUAUCUUAUAUAGGACCAAUAUGGGAUCUAGUUACAUUUUAAACUGUUAUCUAAUGCAAAGUUUACCUGCUGUGAAAAUAAAGCCCUUUUCUGAUGUAGGUUUUGUAGUCAGAGAUUACCUUCAUUGAAAGCUAAGAUGUCUUGUUUCAGAAAUUUGCUUUCAUUCUCCAUUAGUUACAAACAGCAAAUUGACAAGAGCAUUUAUUUUACUUUAUUUAUUUCAUUUUCUCUUAUUUUAGUAACUAAACAGUGUCCAAAUGCUUAUUGUAAUUAUUUUUAAAUACUGAGUUGUAUUUUUUUUGCACCUUUUCCAACAUUGUGUUUAAUGUGAAAUUUUCUUACAUACGUCACUGGUGAACAGUUUAGGAGAAAUAUCUUUAGUAUUCUUCACUUUUCUAGCUAGAAACCGUAGUGACAAGCCAUAAAUGCUUUAGUCUCUGCUGGGGAUUUAUUAACACUGUGAAGGAAUCUGGCAGUCUUGUUAGGAGCUAUACAUACCUCCGAAAAAAAACCUGCUCCUUUGAAAUGAAAGUUUUGGUUGUUUCCCUUAAGGCAGCUUGAAGUUUGUCAGGUUUCUACAAAUCUUUCUGUUGGUGUUUUAUUUUUAUUUUUUUAAUGGGAAAGAACAGCUGUUAUUUUUCAAGAGUUUCAAGAUCUUCAUGCGCACAAUUAAGCAUGCAAAGUGGAACCAAAUUCUUUGUUAAGUAAAGUAAAAUGUGUGUAUUUCACAUUAAGCAUUGAAAUAAACAUGGAAAUAAAGCUAGCAUCUUUUCUGCAGAAAAAAAAAUAAGUCAUGCUAGAAAGCAUUUUAGGUUUAUUGAAGCUCAAGGCAAUGAAAUCAUGUAUAUUAAUGCUGUUCUAAGGGAAGAGAAUAAGAUUGUAUGAAGAAGUGAAUGAUUAUAAUAUAACAGGAUUUUUUUUUUUUUUUUUUUUUUUUUUUUUUUUACCACAAGAUCUGUUAGGAUCUGUUAUUCAUUGUCUGUCAGGUCUGCAUUUCACUCUGUUUUUCCUCCUAGCCUUUAAAUUCUUGAUGCACAGUUUGUUUCUGUUGUCCAUCCCUUUCACACAUGAUGUGUCUUAAAGUUGUUGGUUCUCUUUCAAGUCACACUGUUUUCUUGAGUAAAUAGUAACAUCUCACUGGGUAAGUGUCCUCUUCAUGGGGAAUAGGUGUAUCAUCCAUGCUUCUCGGCAUGGCCUCUUGUUUGUCAUGGAAAUACGCUCUGCUCAUUGCUAUGUCAGUAACUUUUUCUUUGAUAUUCUUUUUUUUCUUUUUCUUUUUCUUUUUCUUUUUUUCUGUGCAUUUUGCUUUCUGAUUUGUUCUUGCUGACGGACUGAAAGUACUUGUAUAAAAUUUUAUUUAAUCAUUUGUCAUAUUCGGAAAGUCAGGACUCCACAACAUAAAGCAAGAUUGAGGAAACAUCCUCCAUCAGUCUUUCUUUGCAGUUUUCCUUAAUUCCAUCCAACAGAUCAGGUAGUUGACCUUCUGUCUAUGCAUCUUUCCUUAAAUACUUAAGUUCAUUUAGGUAUUCAUAUUUAUUUCUGUCAUUUUUCUCUCAUGUUAUUUAGAAAAAAUGCUUGGAUUUCACUCCUCAGUUAAUAAUGAUGCUUGUCAUCAUUCUGAGGUUUUAUGUGCAAUCUUUAACUGGUAUCAAGCUGUGUAACAGAAUCUCGGUUCUACAGUUUACAGCAUACUCAGAGAUUGCUAUACCCAAAAGCAAUUCAAAGAGCAGAAGAAACUUGAAUUACUGUGGGAAUACAAGAAAGGCUAUUCAGAGCAGAAGCUGUGUAGCAAGAUAAAUGGCGUGAGAAAGCAAUGCUGAGAACCAAGGACAUUUCCACAAGAAGAGAAAAAUGAAGUCAAGUAAGCUGCAUGAUGGCUACAUGAUAACAACCAUGAUUGGAGGAAGGGCGCAUGGCUAGGAAUGACUCAUGACUCUUAUUGGAUAAGUGCCUGCAUGCACGGUUAAGGAGUGCUUACGAAAUGUUUUGUUGACAUUUAGAGGGAGGUGGGAAAAUUACUAGAGAAAACUUGUGAAAGUAUUUAAGGGAUGUUAGAACCUGCAAUAAAUGAUUUGAAUCAUUCACAUCUGAGUCCGUGCCUCAGACAUUGCAAAUUACCACCUUUGCACAUUGCUUGAAACUUGAGUUUCCCAGUAACACUGAGAGGCUGUCUUCCCUGGAGAUCAGUACAGCUCUAAGGCCUUUCUUUGUAUGUUGUGUUUCUCAGCAGGGACACAAUGAAGCUGUUUAAAUGAUCAUACAAAUAAGUACAACAAUUCUCCUUUUGGAAAGCUCUCAAGAAACACAGGUCUUCUUUCAUAUUGUGUUAGCAAUUAAGAGAUUGUGCUAAGUUUUGAUUUCUCUGAAAACAAUGAGUGCAAUUGAAAGAAACUUACCAGUCAGAAGCUUGACAGUUGGAUUGCCCGAUGCUGUCUUCCUCUAAUCUGGCAUCUUUCUGAUUUCUCUCUCUGAAACCCAGUUGAAUGGAUCUCGUCUAUUGUGUGGCAAAAUAUUGAAUUCUUAGAGGAGUAUCUAACACUUAGAAGUGGACGUAUCUCUUGGCUUUUACUGAAGAAAAAUUGAAAUUUCCCCUGUGCAACAUGGAUUUUUUGAGUAAAACUGAUUUUUUUCUAAUGUAAAUACAUACUGAUUGGAAAGCUCAAUUAUCUAUAUGUACAUAUUUACUGAAUGAAAGAAACCUCUCUCCCAAAAUAGACAACAAUAGGAACAUUUUUAUUUAUAAAGAUAGAAUAUAAUGAUUUUGGCUGUUAUUAUGUACAGUGAUACACAUUUGGUAACCUUGAAAAAUGAAUAUAUUGUUCUUGAGCUACUGCUAAUGUGUUAAGAUGCUUGCAGCAGUUAGAGACAUGUUUGCUGUACAAAUGGCAAGGGCUUGUAUAAGUUUGUUUCGUAAUGUGUUGCUAUCUUUCACUAACAUGUAUGUAAUACAAAGGAAUUCUAGGUGGGAAUUCUAUCUGUACAGAGAUUGCACAGCAUCAUUUCAUUUGCAUCAAUUUAUGUCAUGCUCUUUUGAAAAAACACUACCUUCUUAUCUACAAAUAGAGGUAGAGGUUUGCUUAGUACCUGAUUUCUUGUUCAGUUUCUUCAAGAAGAGACAGUUAAUUUUGAAUAGUGUCAUCUUUUCAAAAAGAGAACAAAGUAUGAAUUAAAAAUACUAUGUGAAGUAAUACAAACUUUCAAGGUAAAAAACAAAACAAAACAAAAAUGACAACAACAACAACAACAAAAGCAAGCAAGCAAGUAUACAGCUUCUUGCCCUUGCAAAGUGGGAGCCAUCAUUUUAGAAUUCUUCAAAUCAUGUCAUCAUUUCCUAUAAUAUCACAUAAUGGCCAGCUGGCACACUGAAAUAAUGAAAUGUUGACUCUACUGAAUAUUAAGAGUGUUAUUCUUAUUAUGAAGGCCAUUGUUAGUGCAUAUAGAAGCUCUUAAAGAUGCAAAUCUUUGUUACUUUUCAACAGCCUGCUUUAGAAAAAAGAAAUUCAAUGGAAUGUAGCACAGCCUUGUUGUUAUAAUAUAUCUUGUAAUACAUACUUUUUGUUACAUCAAAAGCUUCUCAGAUGGUCAAAGACAAAAGACAUAAUUGAAUUACAUAUUUAAUUUGUUUUAACGAGACACCUGUAACUGGGACACUUUAAGGUACGAAACAUAAAUCUUGUGUACAUAGAGCAGAAGAUUGUUUUCUAACAAGAAGUCAAAAGUAGCAGGUUGGGAACCAUUUUUCUCUUUUUUACUUAAAUAUAGCUAAUAUCAAACAUUAACAAUUACUUCUAAUAAGAAGCACUGUAAAGUUAUGAUUGGAAUAAAAUGGCAUUUGUUUUUAAUAAUGCAUAUGAUAUAGUAAUGAUAUUAAGGUUGGAAGUAAUUCAACGCACAGAUUAUUUUACUUUUACAGUCAAAGAGUACAUCCUUCUCUCUCCAAUCUUUCCACACUACGUGGCUCAAAGGAAAUCAUACAGGUAUUUCAUAGCUCUUAAUGUUUAAAUCCCAGUUCAUGCACACGGUUAUUCUUGUGAAUCUAUGGAUUUAUCCAUAUCUAUGAAAUUAAACAAAUGCUUUAGGCUUUGUUGGAAGGGAAUGCAUAAAUUUUUACUAUCAAAAAUGGAAAUUGAUUGAAGUUUGUAGAGAAAAACAGUUUUUUGUUUAUUUUUGACUAAACUAUGUGUUGGUCCUAUGAAUGUGUCUCACUAAUAAUUUGAACAUCACAUCACAAAAAUACUACAACUUUUUAAAAGAAAAAACAAAGCACAUCAAGCACACAAACAGAUCUGUAAGUCACAUCUCAGUUACAGAAGUUUUGCAUGUGCUUCUUUCAUUCUUACUUUGUGAACACCUCAGGACAAUUUACAUACAAAUUUCUUAAUAUGUUGUUUUAAAGAGUAAGAAAAUGAAGUUGAAAUUCUCCUUUAAUUAUUGCCCUCAGCUGACUGGGGCUAAAGUGGGACUAGUGUCCAAACAAUAACUUAUUAUUUUUUGUGUGCUCUAUACCAGCCACUGCCUGACGUUCAGACUACUGCUUUGCAGCAGAAAGAAUAACGAGUUAGAAAGACAAGGGCAGAAGGUAGAGGGAGAGGGAUAUUGGGGUAGAGCUGGCAGAGAAAGCUAGAAAGAGUAGAUGGAGAGCAGAGGAGACUUGCUGGGAGGAGUUGGUGGGAAUCCAGGUCACUGAAGGAUUUAGGGGAUAUAAACAAAUCUAGAGAACCAAAAGUGGAUUCUGUAUAUGUCUCUGGGACUGAAUGAGCAAGAAAAUGAUUGGCAUUAGGAAAAAGUGGCUUGAUAGUAUGGCUGGGACUGGCAGGGUGAAUAGAACCAGCAUAGACAAGGGCAAAGGCAGGGCAGAAAUUUUGUGCGUGGAGACUAUGCACUGUCAGAGCUUAUUUGGAAGCCCAGAUCCAUAAGUCUUAAUAGCCUUGUUUUGAGCAAUCCUGAUGCUGUGAUGGUUUCCAACAGGAGUAAAGCUAAAGGAGCCCAAUUUUUUAAAGUCUUAUAGGGGGAAUAAGCAGUUUCCUGUAGCUAUAGCAAAGGCUUUAUUUCUAGAGCAAACUAGUAAGAAAAAGGAAAUGGUAUAUCAUCCUGAAAGUAAACUGUAAAAUGUAUAUCGUAUUGCUGCUGAAUGUUGCCAUAACAGCCUUCAUUUCAUCAUGUAAUAACUUCUUUUAGCAUACUCUCUUGGAUUAAUUCCUUUUAAAACUUUGCGUUUGAAAAUAUUGAAUGUAGUUGCGCCCAGUUUUCUCUCCUUGGUUUCUUCAUCUCCUUCUCAAGAUAAAAUUACAGCAAACUCUGUGACUCUGUGCCAUGCUGAAAGCUACAUGAACAUUUAAUGACUAUAUUCUCAUCCAGACAUCUAAUGGACUGAAUUUUUUUUUUUUUUUUUGCUCAGGAUCACACAGGAUGUCUUUGGCAGAAUUUUAUUAGCUAGUUGCUAUGCCAUUUUGUCUUUUUCUCUGAAGUCAGAAAUAGGUCCUCCUUCUAUGAUUAUUUUAUUCCAUCAGCAAAUUCUAUUCUGAAUUAGAAUUAUUUUGUUCUAUUGUUCCAGAAUUGUUCUAUUCUGUUCUAGAAUUGUUCUAUUCUGAACAAUUAUUCCUCUUGAGACAGCGGAAAGUGAGCCUCAAUAUAUGGUGAACCCAUGGUGUUUGGAAAUGUUUAAUUUCUUCACUUCAGUUCACAAUCACUCUAGGGAAUUUCUGAGAAGGACAAUACUAUUAGAAGUUCUGAGAAGAACUCAAAAACUUGCAGCAAACUUCUACUGCUAAAAUGGCUAGUGACCAUAAGAAUGAAUGUAUGGUCUACUGAGAGCAGCAGGCACUUCUUUCAUUAGCCUGAUAGAAAAGUAUUUCAUAAAUAUAUAGUGCUCUGCAGUUGAUGGAGUCUUCACAAAAUGCUGGUAGUUUUAAUGCAGAUUGCUACAAGAUUCCAUUAACUCACUGGUGAUGAUCUGAUUUUUUUUUUUUUUUUUUUUUACAGUGUAAAUGUGUUUUUCUUCUACUUUCUGAUUGGUAUGAAAACAAAUGAAUGUGUGCAGAUGCUGCUUUUAUGCCUGAAAUUAGCAGAACACCAUGCUUUCUCUCUCUUCAUUAUCAUUUUGAAUGAUCGCAACUUUCUAGAUUCAAGAAUAAGAAUGGAUUAAUUUGUAAAAUCAGAGACCCAAUCUCACAAAUACUUUAGGUGCUCCUGCUUCUUUGUUCAUGGCACAGAAGUUGAAACAUACAAAUUUUGAUAAAGGUUUAGUAACAAAUUGGGAGUAAUCUAUUGUCUGUUUCUACAAAGGAAAAAAAAGAAAACAUUGAAACACAUUAAAAAUAUGAAACUCUUAGAAGGUCAUUUAUAACAUUCAAUGCAGUCUUAAGUAGCUGACAAUGAUCGUAUGCUUACUCCUCUGAAAGCAAGAGAUGACUACAUCUUUCAGGCAAUUAAUUCAAAGACUGCACCUUAAAUAUAUGACUGUUUGAAAAAGCUUUCAGUACCGCUAAGUAUCCCGAGAAUAUAGCAUGUUAUAAUGUGUGCAAAACAUGGAGUGAUUUGACAUCUAACUUUGGAACCUGAACCUCCGAGCUUAGCCUUGCAAUUUCAGUCUCUACUGCCCUGUUUUCCUACAGUGACAUAAACAGAAGAUGGCACUGUUUAUUCAUUUGUCUGAAAAUAAAAAGAUAUUUUCUGUUCUUUCAAGGAAAAAAAUAAAUGCUAGUAUACAAGUAAAACAGAAAAGAAAAUGGAGGUGAUCAUGCUUUUGGAGAAAAUGAUACUUUCUGCUGAGUCAGGACACAUGCUUAUAAAAGCUGCAGUAUUGUCAUGGCUCAGAGAAGAGCUACCUUUUGGUGUGACAGCUGUAUAAAGUUCAAAGCCUCUGUGAAACAGGGGGCAUGAAAUACAACAUACAGAGAUCAAACACCAGAGGAGGAGAGGGCAUGUAUUAAAGUUGUUUUUUGUGUACUGAAAAAAAAUACUAUGAGAACAUAAUUAUACAAAAAGAUGCAUUUGAUAAUUGGCUUGUUAAUACAGGUAUCAUCCAACACAGGGAGUUUUCUGUGGAGAUGCAUGAUUGUUUUUUUCACCAAGGGAAGCCUUGGAAUUAACAAAGGGGCUCCUGAGCUCCUGGUCUUAUGAACAUCCACAUACAUGUUUUCAAGUCCUUUAUUUUAUGAGGGAACAUAAAAGGCCCAGAAUGUCAUUUUUGCAAAAUCAGAGUCUUGAUCUACAAAUCAUCCAAUUCUUGGAAAAAAAUAAAAAGAACGUAUUAAGACAGGGGCUGUAUUAAUAGUUCACUGCAAAUAUGUGUUAAUAUAGUACUACUUUAUUUCAGUUAAUGAAAAUUACUGUUAUCUAAUCUGAAAGUUUAUUUUGAGAAAGCAGUAGAUACUUUAUAGAUAAGCCUACACUCUUACACUUAAAUUAUUAGCUGUAGUUGGAGUUAAACUGAAUAUCUCCAAGAGCUUCUAACUAACACAAAGGUGGGUGCAAAGGGUGUUAUCUUCCCAUUAGCUCCAGUACUCCCUUUAUAGGUGGCUGUUGGCAAAGAUAAGAAGACUGUCCACAGGAAAGCAGGAAAUUUAGUUGCCAUUUGGGAAGUUUUACAUGCUAAUUUUUCUUUUGCUUUUUUAUUUGUUUCUUGAUAUAAAUCCUAACUCUUGAGGACUGGCACUUUUGAGUAUUGCUGUGAUUUCCUGCUCAGUUGUUUCACUUAUCAAAUAGCUUCUCUUGUGUGACUAGAGCUAUUGAUCUGAAUAAAGUAAAGCAGGAUUUGGCCUAGCAUGAAAGUAAUCUUCAGGAUGUGAAUAAUACGAGCAAGCUGGAUUUUAAUUUGGAGAAGACUAUAAACUAUUUUUAUUUUCAAGCAAACAUAGCCAGCACAAUUCUAGAAAAGAAAUGCUAUUAAAUGUUUGCCAAAAUAAAUGGGGUUCUGUGAUCUUUUGGUAAUUGCUUAUGGUAUUGAAUAAGAUGUCCUGUUUUUCUUUGGAGAGUUUUCAACAGUUCAUUAAAAGAGCAGCACAGAGAGUUUGUGAUAGUCUAUGAAAAUGCUUGUAAUUCACUCCCUUUUCAGACUGAGAUAAAUCUGAAAUACGCCAUGCUAGUGAAGAGCUGAUUGAAGCUGAGCAUAUUUUCCUCUCUUUUGGUUACCACUGAAAGAAUGAGUGGAUUUUAUGGAACAAAUGUGUUUUCAGAAUUGAAGUGUGGGCUUUGGUGUAUUACAUGUCUCAAGGAACUUGAAAUGGUACUGUAAACUAUGUUCAUUUGCCCUUGUCCUUCAUUUCUUCUUAGUAGGAUUUUUCUUAUCCAUGACAGCAGUGUUAUUUAUAAAAAGGUGUUAUGGAAAGGAAAUAACUUAUGAGAAACCAAACAAGCAAAAACUCAUUUUGCAAGUGCAAGCUGAGAAAGAUACUCAUGCUAGGAGUACUUCCCAUAAGACUGUGUGACAGAAAAGGGCUUUAACCUUGUAACAAAUUAAUGUUUAUACUUGAAAGUCUUCCUGUUUUAUGUUUAAUUAUAACCUUAGAUCUGUAUUUUAGGUUUCUAAAUUUUUGGAGGCAAGCCAGUUUUGCUUUUAUUACUAAGCUUUCAAAGAGAUAGUUGGUUAAAUCUUAGGUAAGAAGACUGAAUUAUACAAUAUUAUAUAGAAAUCACUUUUUUAAUUUGAAAUCAAUAUUGCAAGAGGAGGAUUUUGAAGGAACAUUUGCCACACAAACCUAAGUUUCUUUUGAAAUUCUUGAUCCCAACUACCAACCCCCAGAGGUAACGUUCUACCUUUCCUAAUUUAUGUCAUAUUUUGCUGGAAUAAGCGAAUUGCCUUCUGUUUUCUUCUUUGUAAUCACUAGAAAAUUGAACUUUGAAUGUUAUGACCUAUUUCAAUGUAGCUGAUUGCUUGGCACAGAAUUCUAGUACAGUCUAUUGUGUACUUGUGAGAUAUACUUUUUGGGAAAGGAAUACAUAUGUGAAUCAAUGUAUUUCAUGGAUUUCCUGUCUAAUUUCAGAAUGUAUUAUAAUAUUCUCCUUGUAACAAAAGGCUAAUAGUCUAAAUGAAACUGCUUAAGUCAGUCCAGCCAGCAUGCUGUGCACCAACACCUUUGCUCUACAGAAAAUAUCAGAGAAGUUCAUCCAUUUGCCUACGCCUCACUGUUAAUACAUUAUGGCUAUUACCUAAGGUAUUGCUAUAGGAACUUCCAGAAUCUGUUUAUCUUGAAUACACAAUGGGUUUUUUAAGAUUUUUUUAAACACUCUUAGAAUCCUAUCAUUUUUGGAUUCGGAUCACCUUUAUCCUUGCAAGACAUACGUGCUUAUGGGUCACAUUUACAUUUGCAUGUGUGGGCUGAGAUGUAACUUGGUAUUACAUAGCUGCACACUCCUGAGUUACAAAAUAAGGCCAUGUGCAGGUCCUAAAGGUAAUGUUUCUUUUAGAAAUACGUACUUAUUUUCCCUUCUUUGCAUAGGGAAGGGCAUGGUCAAACUGGACUCUUACAAUAUAGUUACUGUGGCAGAAUUUAUCUUUCCACUGUUCUCCAUAAGCUUUUUAACGUCUUUGUCCUUUCAGAAGGACUCUGAAAUAUGGAGAGAGAAAAACAAAAACAAAUGAAAACAAAUCAGCAAACUUUCCAGCAGCUCCUGUAAGGAUUUCAUCAGCUUUUACAACCAGCUUUUAGCUCCUCUCUACACUUCGCUCACCUGGGACUUAGAAGAACUACAGUAGCUAGGAUUUUCCCUGUCCAAGCUGUGUAAGACUCUAGCAUUGUGUAUCCAGGCCACUUGGAUUUAUUUGCUCAUGUUUUUAAGAGGAAGAAAAUGCCUAAAUGACAUCUAAGGAUACAUUUUAUUUAAAACAAACAAAAAUCACAGCAAUAAUCUUGUUGCAUCCAGAAUGAACUUCAAAACCUUCCUGUGUUAUCAUUUGCCCUAUGUAAUUGCAAUGUCUGUUUUUACUGCACUUUUCUACUCUGAUGCACAACAAAAUUAAUUUCACAAUGACAAAGGAAAUCUUGGCCCUGAGCUUGCUUAAAGCCAUCAUGAGUCUGAAUCCUGCAGGAGUUUCUGCCAGAGGGGCUGAGAGUUGCAAUGAAUGGACUACUUAACCUGUGAACUAGUAGAAAAUAAUGUUGACCUCCAGCUAUCCAAGCAGUAUAUUUACUAAAUAAAUAAACUGUAAGGAAUGCCCUUCUAUUCCAGGGUCAGGUCAAUGUACAAUUUUAGGUGAAAAAUAAUGCUAUUUAUGGUUUUCUCCCUGUAAGUAAAUCUAAAUUUACUAUGUAGCUAGAUGGAAUUCAUUCAGUAAGUGUAUCAAAGACUGUAACUAACGAUUAUUUUAUGAAUUUCUUUCUGUGGUUGUACAAUCAACAAAUAUACAAUCAGCAAAGUGGCAUGGUUAGGCUGGUAUUUUACAGGAUUGUCACGGUGGAAAGGGAUAAUUGAAAAUAAAUGAAAAUGCUCACCCAUAUCCUAGGCUUGCAGAAAAUCACCAAAAGGAGCAAUCUCCAGAAAGAGAUGCUUCCCCCAUGACAGCCAGCCCUCAGAAGGGGUCUAGGAGAGGUGGAACCAGGCUCCAUCCCUUCCAGCCAUACAGUUGAAUUGCUUUCACCUGUUCUCCCACAGCUAACUCAGUGCUUGCCUCAGGUGAUCAGUCAGUGGUUCAGGCUGUAAUUCAACAUUCCCACACACUCCACUACUUCACAGUAUGAACCAACGAUCAGGUUAGCUAGAGGGUGAGCCUUCUCUAAUACAGAGAUCCAAUACAUCAUGAUGCUUAUACAAUUGCUUGUUGCGAUGCAUAUUGACACAAUUUAAGACAAGUGAUGAUCAGCAUAUGGUGAAAGUUCAUGCUCUUUUAUGGGCCAGUACUUGGUGGUGUUACUGGAGGCACGUAGUCGUGUGGUACAGGAUCAUCCUAUGCUCCAUCAGUCCCAUGUAGACCGUCACUGGGUGUCACACAUGAUCUGACAGCAACACUAGAAUGCUUUGAUGGCAUUUUGUUCCAGUGAUCCUAGAGGCUCAAAGACUCACAGGGAGUAAAAUAGAUAUUUCAGAGGUACAAGGAGGGAAAGGUCUGACUUCCAGGGCAGGAUACAGGCCAUACAUAUAUCCUGGGUCAACACUUCAACUUGUACCAUGGUAUGUCCCAGCCACCUGUACCAUACCUUUUGGCCAGAUGUCUGUGGCUGCAUAACUAUAUCAGGUACUAAAGGGGGUAUUCUGAUCUGCCCUAGGGCACACAAUAGCAGUCCCUUUAGCGAUGAAGAUUGUAGUGUUGACCACAAUAUCUGUAGGCUAUAUACCUAUUAUUGAAGGGACUACUGAUCCUCCCAGCUUCAGUAAUCUCCUCCAAAGCACAAGUAUGCCAUACCAUUUGGUCCUACCUCCACCUUCCAAGGCCAUUUUAUUCUAUGGGGGCCCAGAUCUAAAUUCUCAGGGGCAAAGAGCAGAUUAUUUUCAUUGCUAGUCUAGGGUCUUACUUGAUUACUGGUACCCAUAAUUUGGACUCUAAGUGGAGAGAUCCAUGUUGCCUGUAGCAUUUUCAAGGUACUGGAUCUGCUAUCUCUAGGUCUUUCAUUCAGGUCCCUCAGGGUUUCAUAGAGUCUCUUCAUCCACCCCUGCAGGAAAAGAGAGUCUGCCUUCAGGGCUACUAUAAGAAUACUGUUAUGAUGUUCAACUGAGGCCUGCCCCCAUUGGAUUAUAGGGCAGGUGAAAGCUUUGAGUGAACCCUCCAGAAAGAAAUCUUUCCCCAGUGGCAGUCAGCCCUUAAAUGGGGUCUAGGAGAGGUGGAGCUAUGCUCCACCCCUUCCAGUCACACAGUUGAAUUACCUUCACCCACACUCCCAUGGCUGACUCAGUGCUUGCCUCAGGUGAUCAAUCAGUGAUUCACAGGUGAUCCAUCACCUUUUCUUAGUUUCACUGGUUGUUAAAAAGGGAGCAGAUCAGGCUGGCUUGCUCAUCUCCAGCACCUUUUCUGAUGUGAUGAGUCUUUCCUCUUCAGUCUGCAGAGCAACAGCAGGCUUUGGAGGCAGUCUCCCUCUAGCUUGCCAUGGUUAUUUAGAAUUACAGGCACACAUCUGGGAACAUUUCUGCCACCUCAGGCAAGUCUGGUAAUGUCAUUCAGAUAAGGGAUUGGAAUAUGGGUCUGAGUUUGCACCUGACUUGGCAUUAUGCUUUAGUGUUCCUAGUAACUACUACAAACUUAUUUGAACUUUCUUCCUAAACAAGUUUUUAGCUAGGCAGAUGCCCCCACCAACUCUCCUGUAUUCUACUGUGCAUUCCUUGAGACAUACAGGCUUCAGCAUAACACUUAAAGAAAAAAAAUCCCUGCCAACUCUGACUGCAAAUUCACAUUACAUUAAAAGCAGAAUGGAAGAUUAGGGUACUAAAAAAAAACUUUACAAGCUAAACAAACCCUUACAGUAAAUAGGUUUGCAAAGAAAUCUGUCUUUUUCUUCUUAAAUUGCUUCAAAGAUGAAAGUUCCUUGUUGAUGGUUUAAGGGCUGGUCCAGCCCGGUUCCAUGACUAGUGGGGCGGAGGGCUUUCGCAAAAUCCGCACCUCUAGGAAGGGAAACAGGGGACCCCAAAAUAAUUUAAAAACAGCGGCAACGAUCUGAAGAGAAACAAACUAAUUUACUAAAUAUAGUAUCGGAAUGUAAGAUAACACACUAUAAUACAAUAUAAAUCAACAAUAAUUGAGAGAAAGAUUGUCCAAGAGCCAAAGGACUUACACUAAUACUGAAGCCUUGUGCGCAGUCGGAAGCAACAGUAGCGAGCUGAUCCGGUAGGGAACAUGGCAAGACGAGAAGAAGGCUGAGUCAGAUGACCUGCACCCUUAUAUCUAUUCCCUUGAGCAGGAAUGAUAACAGUAGUCGAAAAGACUCUUGGGGAACGCAGUUCUUCUUCUCUUCCAGACAGGUACAUGAAACUAAAGCAUUUGCUCUUUAACUCCCAGUACAAUGCAUGAUAUUGUGAUGUGCAAUACUGAUAACCAGAAAUCAUAAAACCAUGACAUUCCUGUUUUAAGAUUCUGGAAAAAUUAUCUUUAUAUAAAAUAAAUAAAUAAAUCUGGAACUGAGUUCAAGUAGAAGGAAUAGAAUGCAUGAUUCCAAAUUUUACGUGUGUCAUACAAUAGGUUUGUAUAUAUUGCAUAGAAUUCUGUAAAGUAGCAAGACUUGAUUAAGGGGAAACAUACACAGCAACUUUCUGAAGACUUGGCUUCUAAUCGUACAGCUUCUAAUCAUACUGUUAUCAACGGCUUUUCUAACAAUGGGUGCCAUCUUUUUAUAGAGCUGAUCAAUAACGAAAGAAAAUAUCCUACAUUUUCUUCUAAAAAGAAGUAACACAUUAGCUUGCUUUGUCACGGCCUCCUUAUAUUGGUAAAAAUGUCUGAGAAAUUAUACAGGGUCCAUUAUUUGGAAAAUCCAUUGGGAAAAUGGUAGCAAAGAUGAAAUAAUAAUGAAUAAAGUUACAAUAUCUAAAAUUGGGAAACAGAAACUAUGUCCUGUUGUUAAGAGAAUUAGUGUCUUCUAUGAAUACAGAGUCUGAAUAUGUUUAGUGUUGCUAUGUGAAACAAAACUUCAGGAUGUAAAUUUUUUCUCUCUCUUUAUUUGAGGGUAAAACCAGGAUUUCUUGUUGUCUGUGACAUUUUUAACUUCUACCAUCAAAUUUUGUAGAGUUCUCCCAAGAUUAUGAAUUUUCAUUUUCCUCAUGUGCCUGUAUCAAGGAGCCAGGAUGUCUUCAUGCCAUGAGGUGAAAGACAAAGUCCUCUAAAAUUUAUUCUUUGAGAAUCCAUCUACAGUUAAGGUUUGAGACAGUCUCCAGCCCAGAGAUUCAGGGCAUCUUUGUGUAUUCUGUUCAAAAUAAUCAAUACUACAGUUUAAAGGAGACAAGGGAGAGACCUAAGUGAUGAUCAACAGCAAAAUCCAUGACCAGGGCUCUCUAUAAAGAGAGAAGACCUUGGCUGUGCAUGACUUCCCAGAUCAUGACAAAAGAUAAUCGAAGUGGCAGCAAAAGCAAAACUCCUUUGAACAGUCUUAGAGCAGAAGGAGGAUGCUACUAGUUUCAGCACAAUUUGGUGUCAUUACUCAUCUCUCUUUCUGUGGGAAUGUCUGGUCUGCCCACAGCUGUGCUAUAAAUCAUAAUUAGUAUCAUGAAUAUUUUUCCUUCACAGCAGUUAAUGAACUAAAUAUCAGAAGUUUAUUACUUUAUUAGAGAACUGUUACAACCUUUGAACACAAUAUGUUGUUUAAAGCAAAAAUGAUGAUGAAUAUUCACUAGGAACUUUUUUAUUUUAUUUCAUUUCACUUUUUUUUUCCUUUCUAUACACAAGAUGUAGCCACUUUUAUUUGUCUGAAGGUGACAAAAGAAGGAAACACUACACAGGUCAGUGGAGUUAAUGUGGGAUUGAACUGAAUGGAGAACUAGGUUUGUAAUGUAGCCCUGAGUCUGCCUUUUCAUUGUUCUUAUGCUGGUAUCACUACUGAUUCAGAGUUGUUUUUCAUUGGUAUUAUUCAAACAGGUAGCACCUCCACACAGAAAUUACCCUGGGAUCCUGGUGGAUGGCAAAUUUAAUGUGAACUGUAGAGAACUCUUCUGGUGAGAAAGACCUGCAGUAUACUGACUUGCAUUAGUUCAGUGCAGACAGCAGAUCAAGUGAAAUAAUUGCUCCCCUUCAGUCAAAUGCUGUGAUGCUGUAUCUGAAUGAGUUCCGUCGUGGUCUUCACAGCCAAGAAAGGUAGUGACAAACUGCAGAGAGCCCAGGGAAGGGUUAUUAAAUAUAAACCAACCAUUUGGUUAGUGGUGUACUUCCAUGGGGACAGGCUGAGAGAACUUGAUUUGCUUAGCCUGCAAAGGAGAAGGAAAAUUCUAAUUGCUAUUGUUAACAGUGUUUUUGGCUAGAGAGGAGACAGAUAGCAUCAGACUCUUAGAAGUAAAAUGCAAGAUGACAGAAGGCAGUGUUCAUAGGUUGCUACAGGGGAAAUUCUGAAUGGAAACAAGGAAGAAAAUCUUCACAAUAAAGACAUCUGAAUGCUAGUACUACUUGUGCAGGGGGGAUGAGGCAUCUCUACUCUUGACAAAACUCAGAACUUUUCUGAACCCAGAUCUGAGACUCCUGGUCAAACUUUGAAGUUUGCCCUGCUUUGAGCAGGCGAUUAAACUGAGUGACCUACAGAGAAGCCUCCCAGCUGAAGCAUUCUAGGAUCCUUUGAUCCUGCACAUACUAGCCAUUGGCUGGAGGAAAAAAAUAAGACAUUUUCUGGCAUAUACAUACCAAAGUUUUAGUCAGCUCAGUUGUGCUGUGACCAAAUUUGGUCAUUGCCUACUAAACUAAUCUUGGUGUUUGAUAGUAUCUCUAAAUAAUUUCUGGUACAUAGCAGAGAGCAUAUUUUUAGGUUUCUACAACAAAUAAGGAGCAGGGUGUUUUCUAAUUAUACAGAAGGAACUAUGGUCUACUAUGUAUUAAAGGGGACAUCAGCUUGUGAAAAGUCCUCCCAGCUUGACAUAAGCAUUUCUGUUUUCCUCCCUGUGUGUUAUACGUAAUCACAUCUCUAGAAUUUUGACUUAAUGUGGUAUGGAUAACUUCACAUCUCAGCUGUUGAGACUGAUUAAUACAUACAUUCAGCAGUGUUUGAUAAAGAUUUCUUCCUGCUGUAAAUAUCCACUAUAUAUAAAUAUCCACUGUCCAAAUGAAUACUGUUGAAGUAAUAAUUCAUUUCAAAGUAGACUAAGCAAAUCUGAGAUUAUAUUGAAUUGUCUCCAGACUCCAUUAAAAGCAUAGUACAUGGUAUCAUUUUCACUCAGAGAGCCACCAGGAAAUGAAGCAAUCUGCUAAGCUCUCAUUUCUCAUUUUUUAGCAACUGUGUUUAUGUGGAUUUUUUGGGAAAUAAUAGGAAUUAAGAGACAAGGUUUGCAUUCUCAGCACGUGAUCCUGAGUAGGUCAUUUUUUUAAUCUCCAACUCACUCUGUAGAGAAGGUAUUUACAUGUAUUUUUAUUUUAUGACAUUCUUGAUUUAUGGAUUGAGAAGAAUGCAGUGUAUGAGUUAGAUCUUAUAAAAACAACAUUAGAAUUGACAUUGAAAAUGCAGCCAUUUAUGAAUUCAGUAUUUAGUCAAUACUGCAUAUGGAAUUUAACAGCAACAAUAUCCAGCCAGAUGUGAUUUCCUCUCAUUUUAUAUUGCAGGGUAGGGGGAAAUGUAUGCAACUAAAACCAAACCUUGUAAACAGCAACAGCAGCAACAACAGACUAAUCUGUGGAAAGUUAAUUGAACCAUUCCAAGCACUUUAGGAUGUCAAAAUCUUUAAAGCUGAAAAAUAGGCAUUCCCCUCAAAUGGUCUCUCUCCUGCUGGUAUAGAACACCUUGAUGUAGAGCUGUAGGGUUUAUUUGUGCCACAGAGCAUGUCUGUUACUUUGUAUGUGCUGCUGAAAAAUGUGUUAGUAUUUAAAUAUUAGCACAAAAGAAUGUUAUAUUUCCUGCUCUAACAAGAUCAGUUUCGAUAAAACCAAAUUUAUUCAUUCUUUUCUAUCCAUAUCUUGCAGCAUCAUUUUGCACUUCUCUUAGAGACUACACUACAGCAAUGUGAUCUGUGGUAGUCCUGUGAGCCCCAGGACCUUGAGUUACUUCCUUGCUGAAUCCAGUGGCAGCCUUGACAAGCAAUCUCGUUAGCAUUAGCCUACAAUUAAAUUGAAAGGAAAGUAGCUAAGCAUGCUUUUAUCUUUCUAAGACUUAUUAAAUUUCUUUCUAAACAGAAACUAUGAAUAAAGGCCUUGUGAUGCUAGCCAGCAGACAAUUCCUCAGAUGUAUAAGUUGAUAUAGACUAGUUAUUAAUGAAAGGAUAGAAAAGAUUAUGUUAAUUACCACCUGGCAUCGUGAGACUCUAAUCGCAUUCAGAAUAUCAAUGAAGCCAAUGAUUUUGAUUGUCAGAGCAAUAAUUUUGAGGGCUUGGUCCUUGGAGAUAUCAUAGUGAAGUCCUCUUCAGAAAAGUCUCAUUUCAUUUUAAUGAAAAUAUUCAAUAUUUGAGCUGAGAUGCAGAUUAAAGUCCAAGCUGAAUGUGAAAUCUAACUCAAAAAGCACUUUAAAAGCCAUCAGAUAAUUGCAAAUUUGGAUAAGAAACCUAGAGACUAGCCCAACAAUCAACUUAGCUGUUUCUUUUAGCUCAACAAAAGCCAGUGACUUCUAAAUAACAAUCAAACAGGUAAAAUUAAUAAUUGAGUCAGCUCCAAAUCUCAGUUCUGACAGCUUAAUUUGAGUAAAAGCUUUAUGUGAACUUUUUUAUCUAAUAGAAAAUGUGGUCUAUUUUAAUACUCAGAUCUAAACUUCUACAGUUAAAAAAAACGGGAAAAAAAUGUAAUUCAUCUCACCAUGUAAAAGCUACCCGUUGCUGCCCUGUAUUAUUCUUAUGAUAACUUGAAUUUUUUGUUAGCUGCUGUCUGUGUCUGAGGUUAUUUUCUAAGAAGCUUUGCCAAUGCUUAAUUUCUACUUACAGGAUGAGUGUAGCAGAAAAUAAUGCAAAUGCCAAAGCAGUUCAAAACAAACACAGCUUUUCUUCUGCCAUACAAACCCAUUACAGUGUUUACCAGUCCACCUGUGGGGUUCUGUUCAUGCUAUUUGUUAAUCAGCCCACGCUUCCAAACCCAAAAGUGAAUUUUAAUCUUUUUUAGAGCUGUGUUUUCUUGGAAUUAUUAUCUGCACCCCCUCAAAAACAAAACAAACCCACAAAAAUGUGUGAUUCUUGAUGUAGAGGAUUUCAGCUACUGAGGGAAUGUUAGUUGGCUUACCUAAGGUACUUUCUGUGGAAAGCCUUGAUGUUGUCCAUUUUGAGACCACCAAUUGAGUAGGUCAGUAUUCUCAAAUUAAAAUAAUUGUUAGAAAAAAAUAAUAAUUGAGGAACACUCCUGGCAUGUUACUGUGCCUAAACUGAACAACACUUCUAUAUCAUUUGAGGGUAGCCAUUUUGUUUUCUAAAUGUAAAUAUCAAGCACCAUGCUGUCUGCUUCCUCUGAAGGACCUAAGCACUGUAAACGUUUAGUGAUUGUAAAGGAAAACAGGGAAAUAUCAUCAGGGGAACUGCUGAUACCUGUAGCAUACGCUGAAGAUAUAAUGGCAAAGGAAACACUGAGUUAUUUUUGAGAUUGUUUUGGGUAGUUUGUAAGCCAAAGGUGAUACAAGAACUGUUAUAAAUAAAUUUGAAUUACUUUGUAGCAAGCAGUAUUCUCAAUUUAUUAUUGAAGAUUUUAUAUAAUGUAAAUUUUCACAAGAAUGAAUAAAAUAGAGUUUUAUUUAUUUACAGUAACAUAACUCCAUUGCCAGUGGACUUCUAAUAUCCAUCUGGAGGUAGGAUAGUUGGGUGUUUUGAUAUUUACAGACAUGAAUAGGUUUCUAAAUUACAUGUGGUGAAUAGAUCUUCUCAGCAUUGUUUGAGCUUGCACAGGCUUUCUCCUUUGAUCCUACAUAUUAGUCUGUUUAGUUCUAGGUUUAGGAGCUCAGAAGAUUCAAAGUGUUGAGGAGAAGGUAUUAAGCUCACGUAUUUAUUAGAUGCCCAAGAGUGAGUUUGUGGAGGGAACUGUAGGGUCAAAGUAACCUCUAUACAGUUUAUCUGUGUACUGUGUAUUAUUCAGGUUACUCACAGAUGAAAAUAAUAGUAAUAAUAAUGGGAAUAUUUGCAUAGAACCAGAAGACAAAUGGAACACAGUGUUGUUAGAGAUUGUCUUGUAGCUGUUAUGUAAACCAAAG